AGUCGUAACAAGGUUUCNGUGGGGAACCUGCGGAAGGAUCAUUG
rnacentral:rRNA from 1 species